GUUGUUGUGGCCGAGUGGUUAAGGCAAUGGACUUAAAAUCCAUUGGGGCCUCCCCUCGCAGGUUCGGGUCCUACCGACAACG